GGCAAUCGACACGGGGGCUGUGCAUGAACGCAUGGCUGAGAUGAGGCCGGACGGCCUCGACCGCAUGAACGUGAAUCCGGGUAAUGCCGGCGCACGGACGUCGCGAAUCCCGUGCC
rnacentral:ncRNA from 1 species